rnacentral:tRNA from 1 species
GGUCUUAUAUUCAUAAAAUGAUAUUGGAAUGCAAUUCUAAUGGUGUAAACUUAGGUACUAAGACUU